AUGCUAGCUUCCAGGGGGCUACUGCCUCUGCAUCCUGAGCUCCUUGCGGAAGUUGCCGAUGAACCUCUCCGUGUUGGCGAACAGCUCCUGCCGACUCAUCGUCACGUCGUCGACCUCAAAAUCAUCCUGCUCCUCUUUCCGUCCCUUUUCCUCUCCGCCGGCCUGGCAGCCGUUCAGCGCGCUGAGGAAGAAGAUGCUCGCCGUCGACGGGCACUUUUUCAGCACCUUCAGCACCACCUCCUUGCUCUUGAUCUUCAGCUCGAUUAUAUUACUCGCCACAAAGGCAGGAACCACCACACGAUCAUAAUCAGCAACCGCCGUCCGGUCGUGAGGACGGGCUGA
rnacentral:rRNA from 1 species